rnacentral:rRNA from 1 species
AGUGGGAGCACAGGUUUACCUGUGUGACUGCGUACCUUUUGUAUAAUGGGUCAGCGACUUAUAUUCUGUAGCAAGGUUAACCGAAUAGGGGAGCCGGAGGGAAACCGAGUCUUAAUUGGGCGUUAAGUUGCAGGGUAUAGACCCGAAACCCGGUGAUCUAGCCAUGGGCAGGUUGAAGGUUGGGUAACACUAACUGGAGGACCGAACCGACUAAUGUUGAAAAAUUAGCGGAUGACCUGUGGCUGGGGGUGAAAGGCCAAUCAAACCGGGAGAUAGCUGGUUCUCCCCGAAAGCUAUUUAGGUAGCGCCUCGUGAAUUCAUCUCCGGGGGUAGAGCACUGUUUCGGCUAGGGGGCCAUCCCGGCUUACCAACCCGAUGCAAACUGCGAAUACCGGAGAAUGUUAUCACGGGAGACACACGGCGGGUGCUAACGUCCGUCGUGAAGAGGGAAACAACCCAGACCGCCAGCUAAGGUCCCAAAGUCAUGGUUAAGUGGGAAACGAUGUGGGAAGGCCCAGACAGCCAGGAUGUUGGCUUAGAAGCAGCCAUCAUUUAAAGAAAGCGUAAUAGCUCACUGGUCGAGUCGGCCUGCGCGGAAGAUGUAACGGGGCUAAACCAUG